rnacentral:rRNA from 1 species
GACGAACACUGGCGGCGUGCUUAACACAUGCAAGUCGAACGGAAAGGCCCUGCUUUUGUGGGGUGCUCGAGUGGCGAACGGGUGAGUAACACGUGAGUAACCUGCCCGUGACUUUGGGAUAACUUCAGGAAACUGGGGCUAAUACCGGAUAGGAGCUCCUGCUGCAUGGUGGGGGUUGGAAAGUUUCGGCGGUUGGGGAUGGACUCGCGGCUUAUCAGCUUGUUGGUGGGGUAGUGGCUUACCAAGGCUUUGACGGGUAGCCGGCCUGAGAGGGUGACCGGCCACAUUGGGACUGAGAUACGGCCCAGACUCCUACGGGAGGCAGCAGUGGGGAAUAUUGCACAAUGGGCGGAAGCCUGAUGCAGCAACGCCGCGUGCGGGAUGACGGCCUUCGGGUUGUAAACCGCUUUCGCCUGUGACGAAGCGUGAGUGACGGUAAUGGGUAAAGAAGCACCGGCUAACUACGUG